rnacentral:rRNA from 1 species
UGGGGAAUAUUGGACAAUGGGCGCAAGCCUGAUCCAGCCAUGCCGCGUGAGUGAUGAAGGUCUUCGGAUUGUAAAACUCUUUCGCCGGGGAAGAUAAUGACGGUACCCGGAGAAGAAGCUCCGGCUAACUUCGUGCCAGCAGCCGCGGUAAUACGAAGGGAGCUAGCGUUGUUCGGAAUUACUGGGCGUAAAGCGCACGUAGGCGGAUUUUUAAGUCAGGGGUGAAAUCCCAAGGCUCAACCUUGGAACUGCCUUUGAUACUGGAAGUCUUGAGAUCGGGAGAGGUGAGUGGAAUUCCUAGUGUAGAGGUGAAAUUCGUAGAUAUUAGGAAGAACACCAGUGGCGAAGGCGGCUAACUGGUCCGGUACUGACGCUGAGGUGCGAAAGCGUGGGGAGCAAACAGGAUUAGAUACCCACGUAGUCCCUGAGCGGGCUGGCAAGGCGCAU